UACGUAGGGUGCGAGCGUUAAUCGGAAUUACUGGGCGUAAAGCGUGCGCAGGCGGUUCGCUGUGUCCUGUGUGAAAGCCCCGGGCUUAACCUGGGAAUGGCAUGGGAAACUGGCGAGCUUGAGUGCGGCAGAGGGGGGUGGAAUUCCGCGUGUAGCAGUGAAAUGCGUAGAGAUGCGGAGGAACACCGGUGGCGAAGGCAGCCCCCUGGGUCGACACUGACGCUCAGGCACGAAAGCGUGGGGAGCAAACAGG
rnacentral:rRNA from 1 species